GAUGAACGCUGGCGGCGUGCCUAAUACAUGCAAGUCGAGCGAACAGAUGAGGAGCUUGCUCCUCUGACGUUAGCGGCGGACGGGUGAGUAACACGUGGAUAACCUACCUAUAAGACUGGGAUAACUUCGGGAAACCGGAGCUAAUACCGGAUAAUAUAUUGAACCGCAUGGUUCAAUAGUGAAAGACGGUUUUGCUGUCACUUAUAGAUGGAUCCGCGCCGCAUUAGCUAGUUGGUAAGGUAACGGCUUACCAAGGCAACGAUGCGUAGCCGACCUGAGGGGGUGAACGGCCACACGGGAACUGAAACACGGCCCAGACCCCUACGGGAGGCAGCAGUAGGAAAUCUUCCGAAAGGGGGGAAAGCCUGAGGGAGAAACGCCGGGGGAGUGAAGAAGGUUUUCGGAUUGUAAAACCCUGUUAUUAGGGAAAAACAAAUGUGUAAGUAACUAUGCACGUCUGGACGGUACCUAAGCAAAAAGCCACGGCAAACUACGG
rnacentral:rRNA from 1 species